UGCCGAGUAGUGUAGCGGUAGCACAGAGGACUUUGGAUCCUUUGACCCAGGUUCGAACCCUGGCUCGGCAGCCA
rnacentral:tRNA from 1 species